CCACGGGACCCCGACC
rnacentral:rRNA from 1 species